rnacentral:rRNA from 1 species
UGAACGCUGGCGGCAGGCUUAACACAUGCAAGUCGAGCGGGCGAGGUUGCUUCGGUAGCUGAGCUAGCGGCGGACGAGUGAGUAAAGCUUAGGAAUCUGCCUAUUAGUGGGGGACAACAUCUCGAAAGGGAUGCUAAUACCGCAUACGUCCUAUGGGAGAAAGCAGGGGACCUUCGGGCCUUGCGCUAAUAGAUGAGCCUAAGUCGGAUUAGCUAGUUGGUGGGGUAAAGGCCUACCAAGGCGACGAUCUGUAGCGGGUCUGAGAGGAUGAUCCGCCACACUGGGACUGAGACACGGCCCAGACUCCUACGGGAGGCAGCAGUGGGGAAUAUUGGACAAUGGGGGGAACCCUGAUCCAGCCAUGCCGCGUGUGUGAAGAAGGCCUUUUGGUUGUAAAGCACUUUAAGUGGGGAGGAGGCUCUCUUGGUUAAUACCUAAGAAGAGUGGACGUUACCCACAGAAUAAGCACCGGCUAACUCU